rnacentral:lncRNA from 1 species
UGGACUUUGCAUCGAAUAGAGCGGAGAGAGAGCGGGAGAGCGGCGUCUGAAGCGCCAUCCGAGAGAAAAUCUGGAGCCAGAGGUGAAAAUGAAUCAACGCUGAAGCCGAGCAUAAAACCACAGACGAGAGAGUUGUUGCUGAUAAAUUCCGACUGUACGCCACGCAGCGUUUAUGGACUACACGUGGACAACAGCUGGAGGAGACACAGUCUGCAGCCUCUGAAGACGUGGCGCUGGAGACAACUGUGCAAAUGGUGCCUCAGCACCGGCUUCCCUGUCAGCCCCACGUCAGAAAGUAAGAGAAUAAUACGCGCUUCUUACUUAUGCUUCAGUUUGUUAGAUAGUUUAUAUUAUAUUUUUUUACUGAAUUUUUUUUUACUAACUAAAAAUACCUUCUGUGUUUCCCUUUUCCAAUGCAAACAAAUAUAAUAACAGGAAAUGACUCAGUGAUUCAAUUUGUACAAGAAGAACCAGAACUAUAAUAUGUAAUUAAAACUGUAAAAGUCAAACUUAACUGGAUCUCACUAACCUAUAAUUUACCUUCGGUUCAUUGAUGAAAAGUCACUGAACCUAAAAGUAAAAAAAAACCCAAAGCUACAUUGGAGCAGACAUAAAGCAGGUGAGAGGAUGUGUUGACUGUAGCCCUUUCUUAAACGAUGGCAGUAAUUAAAAGCGAGGCCAUUAAACAAAGUAACACUUAUUAGUGAGCUCUAAAGCUCCAUUAUCCCUCUCGUAUGCUCCUUUUGGGCAGGGGGCCACGGGAAACAACCAGUAAAAGGCGGCACUCAUUAAACACACACCAACUAGCUGCUGUUGGUCAGAGCAUCGCUCUGUUGACACCACAACUGCCUCCUCUGGUUUUUAAAGCCAGUACAUAGUUAACGGCAGCAGGAUCUACUCUGCUGCGAAAGGUCGCAUUUGAAAAGUGAUAUGCUAAUACUGCAAUUUCCAUAGAGAUGCCUUCUACUGCACAACACAGUAACAUAAAUAAGUAUGUCUCAGUAUAUUGAACCUAUACUGGUCAGAUUUCAGGGGUGAAAAUAAGGUCGGAGAGAGUCUGGAGAAUUUUGAGGCGCUGGAAACGACGGCGCGAGGGAUCUCGGGAUUCAGAGCAAGUUUUAUUUGAGAACUAAACACUCCCACAGUUGGUAUUUCAUGCAGUAGAAACCCCCACACACACCGAGAAGUCAGAGUCGAGCAUCAGCCGCGCAGGAUCUUUUCUGAGCCCCGGAGGCGGCAUGUAACUCUUCAUCCUCUUCGAUUUCUCAUACGGUGAAAGAUAAAGGCACAUAGCUCCAAGUGCUAAAAGAGACUAUUGACUUCAUUAUAAACAAAAGCCUACAUUCACACCUUGAAACCAGCAAUAAAAUUGUAAAGCUAAAAGGAAAUUAGACUGAA